rnacentral:rRNA from 1 species
AUCUAAGAGAUUUGGCGGUACUUGUGACUGAUUAGAGAAACUUGCUUUAAAAAAUCGAUAAACCUCGAAGAAUCUUACUUUUAUUAGUUUUUCAGUUUGUAUACCGUCAUAGAUGUAAUUUCAAAAGAAUUAAAUUAUUUAAAUAAUUUUGUUGAAUAGAACAUUAGAUCAAGGUGCAGCUAAUAUAGAAAGGUUAGAGUGAGUUGCAGUAUAAUUUUAUAGUGUAUGGAAAAUAAGUUGUAUAGCUUUUAUGAAAAUGGAUUUAAUAGUAAUAGUAUUUUAAUAAGUUAUUAUGAAUAUAGUUCUGGAGUAUGU